CUUGCAUCAUCACUUCUUCAAGUAGGCCAGCAAGAUGAUACUGAUAGAGCUGAUUUUCACAGGGUGUGGCAGCUGGUGAUUUACAUUGGGAUUCUCUUCUUCAGGUCCAUUUAGAGGCUAUCCCACAAAGUAUACCUAUAAUAGCUCUUUCGUUUGUGUAUCAGAAUGUAGUUCCAGUGCUUUGUACAAACCUUGAAGGGAACUUGUCAAAAGUAAGCAUGUUGGAUCAUAUGGUGGGCUCUUGCAAAAAUUUUCUUUUAGCCUAACAGACACAAAAAUGGUCAUGCACGACCACACAAGCUAUUCUCCAUUCCAAUUCCAUUUUUACCCUAUUAAUGAAAUUGUUAUCCAUGUCUUAUUUGAAUAUUUAAUCCAAUGUAUUUAAAACUCUUAUGAGUUCAUUCCCUUAUGGUUCCCUUAGAUUCUUCCCUUAUUAUUGAAAUCAUUUCAUAUAUUCAAUUUAGCUUCUCCUUAAACUGAACUUUUCUAUUGCAAUUCAAAUUUCAAGUUUAAUUUAUUUCCAUCUCAUCCCUCUAAAUCUCAUACUUGGUAAAUAGUAUUAUGAUCAAUAGCUUGUUUACUUGGGUGGAUUUAUAUGAGGGAAGUGAAAAAUAAAAACUAUUUAUUUGAUAAAAAAUAAGAUAUAUUCAAUAAGUUGUAUUAAUCUAUCUAUUCAAUUCAUAAUUCCACUUUGAAAAAAUAGGCUUAUCAUACAAGGUAAAACAAUAAUAUAAUAAAAUAGAGUAUGCCAUAUUAAGUAACUUGCAUAUUAUUAAUGCCUAAUGUGUUCAUUAUCAACAAUGUUCUACACUUUGGUCACUUGAUUAAUAACAAAAUCAUGAGCCCAAUCACCCCUACUUUGAGACUCCUGCACCUGAAUCCUCUUUGCUCAACUCCUAACCUCAUAGAUCAACACUACUUCAGACUCACAGAACGAUGUUAAGUUGUAAGACUUUUGAGCUUGAAUAUACUUCUCUUGCCUUCUUUUCCUCUUCCUUUCUCAUGCAGUUUAAAAUUUAUGGAUUAAUUUUAGGGUUUAUUUUAAAUUUUAGAGAUUUUUUUUUUAAAAAAAAUUGGUUUAAUAUUUUAAGGCUGUUUUAAAUUUGUGAGUAUUUAUUACAAUUUUAGGGAUGCAUUAGGCCUUUUAAGUGUUUGUUAAAAAAAAGUUAGUCUUCCUCAGAUGACUUGGUCAUAUUAUUAGUGUCCAAAGGGGUUUGGAUCCCUCGUAAUGAAUUAUUUUUGACUUCAAUAAUAUUUUCCUCUUCGGUAAGUUGAGUUAAUAACUUUUUUUGUGGUGCAAUUUUUCAUGUUGCAAUUGAUGCCAGAAUUGAAUUUCUGAUUCGGUCUCAGUGUGAGUUUCCCCAAUCCCUUUCCAGUGCAAGUUUAAGUUUUUUUCUAUUGGGUACCAACCUGUUCCUCCUGUAAACAAUGGCCCCUAUUGAUUUCCUCCAUACACUGAUUGACCCAAUCAGAUCUCUCUUAGAGCCACUUGUGAUCCCAUGUUUUCAGCCUAGCGUGCCUAUCAUCAUUAUUGCCAUAUCCUGCAGAGUCAAGGAACCUCCAACAUUGGAUGGAUUCUCCUCUCUAUGCCUGGGAAACACGCUGUCAUCGCUAUCUCAGGUUUGCAAAAGCCAACGUCCUCCACCUUCACAGCGACAACCAUGUCUGCAACAACAAAAUGCUGCUCGACAAACACUGGAUAUUCAUGAUUUUAUUUUGUGAUCUCAGGAGAUUACAAAGUUCAAAGAUCACCUAUAUUUUGAAUUAGUUAGGAAAUUGAUAAUUGCCAAACACCAAGAGGUGUAUGUUCAAAUUUGUAUCUAGAUCUUUUAAAAAACAAUGUACUCCAAUGUUUGAUGUCUCAGGACUGCAAUUAUUCUCGGAACAGCCAUUCCACUUCUUCUGUUUCUUA